rnacentral:rRNA from 1 species
GGGCCCGCACAAGCGGAGGAACAUGUGGUUUAAUUCGAUGAUACGCGAGGAACCUUACCCGGGCUUGAACUGCAGAGGAAGGUCACAGAGAUGUGCCCGCCCUUCGGGGUCUCUGCGGAGGUGCUGCAUGGUUGUCGUCAGCUCGUGCCGUGAGGUGUCGGCUUAAGUGCCAUAACGAGCGCAACCCCUCUCCUUGGUUGCCAUCGGGUGAUGCCGGGCACUCCAGGGACACUGCCGCCGUAAGGUGCGAGGAAGGUGGGGAUGACGUCAAAUCAGCACGGCCCUUACGUCCGGGGCUACACACGUGUUACAAUGGGGAGUACAGAAAGUCGGCUGCGCGCAAGCGUCGUCCAAUCCUAAAACCUCCCCUCAGUUCGGACUGGGGUCUGCAACCCGACCCCACGAAGCUGGAUUCGCUAGUAAUCGCGCAUCAGCCAUGGCGCGGUGAAUACGUUCCCGGGCCUU